CACACAUAAACCGGCACAUGGUUCUGGGUGUUGGGGGUCUGCUUUAAGACUUCUGAUCGAAUCGUGGUUUCUAUUUUUCUUUUACAAAAAGUUUAAGUAGAACGGGGGUUUAUGGAGGCCUAACCCAUACAAAGGAAAUUAAA
rnacentral:sRNA from 10 species